AUGGGCUCGCCGUCGGCUCCGCCCGCUCUCCUCCUCAGCUUCCUCGCGCUGCCCUACGGUAGCAGCAGCAGAAGAUCCCUCUUCCUCAACUCGAAGCAGAGGCUGCAGCGAUUGCCUUCACCAGGAACCGGUCGCCGUCACGUGGCGGCGGCGGCGGUGGACAAGCUCGCGCCCCGGCCGCCGGAGGCUGGCCGUCUUAGGUGGAAGUACCGGCUAGCGUGCCGCGGGUCCUACGACGGGCUUCCCGGGCUUCCUCCUCCGCCUCCUUCCGGUGAGGCGAGUGCGUCAAGAAAUGCUGCGAAAUUUAGCGUGGAUGGGUGGCGUCCUGCCCUUCGCCGAUGGGAUGUGCCAUGGCAGUGGCCAACCGUGUCCCUCACCAUGGUGGCCUGUGCACUAAGCGCUCUUUUGGCAGGAAAGGUUGAGCAAUCAGUUUUGGAGUAUCUAGGCUAUCAAGCCGGAGAGGCAACUAUUGAUGAGAAGGCCGGGGUACUCUUUCUGGAACAAUUUAGUGUGACAGCAGUUGCCAUUGGAGUUAUAUUUGGCAUCACCAAUACCUUUCGACCAUUCUCGGAUGACAUAUUUCGUUAUGAUUUUAAGGAACCAUUUAAGCUGCAAAACGGCUGGCUCCUGUGGGCUGGAAUUGGCCUCUUUUUUGCUCUAGUUUCCAUUUCUUUAACUGGAGCAGUGAUGACCUUUCUGAAUGGUGAAACCACACAGAGAGAGACUGACUCGCUACUUCUUCUAUUGCCACUGAUAGGCUCGUCGAAUAUCAGCACUGCCUGUCUGCUGGGCAUCACUGGGGUUCUUGCACCAAUUUUGGAGGAAACUGUAUUUAGAGGAUUUCUAAUGGUAUCCUUGACUAUGUGGUUUUCUACGCCAGUAUCUGUUCUGAUCACAGCUGUGGUGUUUGCCUUUGCUCAUCUUACACCAGGAGAGUUUCCCCAACUUUUUGUGCUUGGUGUGGCACUGGGAUUCUCAUAUUCUCAAACUCGGAAUCUUCUUACUCCUAUCACAAUUCAUGCUGCUUGGAAUUCCGGAGUAAUAUUGUUACUAACCUUUCUUCAGUUGCAGGGAUAUGAUAUCAAGGAGCUGCUGCAGGCAUCUUGA
rnacentral:rRNA from 1 species